rnacentral:rRNA from 1 species
UCGCCUGUUUUAUCAAAAACAUGUUCUUAUAGUAUUGUUUGUAUAAGGUCUAACCUGCCCAAUGAUUUUAUUGAAUGGCCGCGGUAUUUUAACUGUGCUAAGGUAGCAUAAUCAUUUGUCUUUUAAUUGAAGGCUAGGAUGAAUGGUUGGACGAAGCAUAAUCUUUCUUUAGCUUAAUUUAUGAAUUUAAUUUUUUAGUUAAAAAGCUAAAAUUCUUUUAUUGGACGAGAAGACCCUAUAGAUCUUUAUAUUUAAUGAAUUGAAUAAUAUGGUUAAUUUAUUAUUCAAUUAAAAAAGAUAUUUAAUUGGGGUGAUUCGAGAAUUUAGUUAACUUCUAAUUUUUGUAUUUCAUUGAUUUAUGUUUACUUGAUCCAUUUUAUUGAUUAUAAGAUUAAGUUACCUUAGGGAUAACAGCGUAAUUUCUUCGGAGAGUUCAUAUCGAUGAAGAAGUUUGCGACCUCGAUGUUGGAUUAAAAUAAGUAAUUGAUGGAGUAGUUUAAUAACUAGGUCU